rnacentral:rRNA from 1 species
AUUGAACGCUGGCGGCAUGCCUUACACAUGCAAGUCGAACGGCAGCACGGGAGCAAUCCUGGUGGCGAGUGGCGAACGGGUGAGUAAUGUAUCGGAACGUGCCCAGUCGUGGGGGAGUAACGCAGCGAAAGACUGUGCUAAUACCGCAUACGAUCUAUGGAUGAAAGACGGGGGAGUCGCAAGACCUCGCGCGAUUGGAGCGGCCGAUAUCAGAUUAGCUAGUUGGUGGGGUAAAGGGACUCACCAAGGCGACGAUCUGUAGCUGGUCUGAGAGGACGACCAGCCACACUGGAACUGAGACACGGUCCAGACUCCUACGGGAGGGCAGCAGUGGGGGAAGUUUUGGUACAAAUGGGCGCAAGCCUGAUCCAGCAAUGCCGCGUGCAGGAUGAAGGCCUUC